UUUUUUUGGUCGAAAGAGAACUUAUAUUAUAUUAGAGAUUAAUACAAGCGGAAGCAUCUGAAGAAAGAACAUUAAGAAAGGAAGGCGGAGGAAAGAAAAGCCAGUUUGUCGAUGGGCCUUGAUCCCGAUGGGCUUUUGCAGCCCAAUCAGCUGCUAGGUUUGCCGUUCGUGGAAUAUGUCGAAGCGAAAGGUGAGGGCAUUGCUGAAGAAGAUCUUCCAGAAUCGCGAACAGAUGACUCUCCUUCCAUGGCGGCUGCUGUUUCGUCCGAACGAUCUCCACCAGCUGCAAGCAAUCAGAUUCAAUCACAAGUGGCUGAAGAUGGAGACCCUUCUGGAUGAUCCGUUGAAGAGCAGACAUAAGAGCGUAGAUCUCGGCUUGGAAUGGCGACUGAGCAGGCACAGAUCGGAUAAUGCGUUGGGAGAGGGCUUCAUUGACGACAAGAAGAGAAUCCAACGGAGAGUGGCGAAAGACGGCGUUGUUUCGAUGUUUCCAAAUUUCCCACAGAGAUGAGCAAUCACUUCGAAAUCCAGAGACUCUCGAGGGUUAGAAAUAUAGUCUACAAGCCAAGCAUCAAGUCUGCGUACUGAGGUACCAGAAGAUGUCUCUGUCCAAACCAGGUGAUCGUGGUGAAGAAAAGGAUUGAUAGGAGUGUUGAGAAUGGCUUUACUAACCUGGUGAUCGAAGAAUGAAGUAACUGAGGAAGACUUCCAUUCAGAACGUUGAGAAUCAAUGAGAUCAGCAACAAGUGCUGGUUCGCCCU